GGCAUAGCUCAAUGUUAGAGCAUCUGCUUUGAAUGCAGAAGGUCCCAGGUUCAGUCCUUGGCAUCUCCA